rnacentral:rRNA from 1 species
CCUACGGGAGGCAGCAGUGAGGAAUAUUGGUCAAUGGGCUUACGCCUGAACCAGCCAAGUCGCGUGAGGGAAGACUGCCCUAUGGGUUGUAAACCUCUUUUGUCAGGGAGCAACGCAGGCUACGUGUAGCCGGACUGAGAGUACCUGAAGUAAAAGCAUCGGCUAACUCCGUGCCAGCAGCCGCGGUAAUACGGAGGAUGCGAGCGUUAUCCGGAUUUAUUGGGUGUAAAGGGUGCGUAGGCGGAAUGCCAAGUCAGCGGUAAAAUCGCGGGGCUCAACCUCGCUCCGCCGUUGAAACUGGCGUUCUUGAGUGGGCGAGAAGUAUGCGGAAUGCGUGGUGUAGCGGUGAAAUGCAUAGAUAUCACGCAGAACACCGAUUGCGAAGGCAGCAUACCGGCGCCCAACUGACGCUGAGGCACGAAAGCGUGGGGAUCGAACAGGAUUAGAUACCCCUGUAGUC